CCCUUUAAUAUUACUCCCUUCUGAUCUCCAAAAUAAAUUCUUGACAUAAUCAAACAGUUUCUUCCUUGGAUCCAAAUUCUGCAGAAGAAUCUGCAGAAUAACAAAUGAAAAAGUGGUAUCUUUUAUAAAGGCACAUUUAUUCAUUUAUAAUUUGGUGGAUAUAUUAAUUCAUAUCCAUAUGUAGUAUAGGAGCAUUUGUAUGACUGAAUCUCUUCAUUAAAAUAGAUUGGCAGGAUUUAAUAAUUUACCAAUAUUUUCUUGUUCCAUGUUUACAUUACUACUGUUUGGCAAGAAUUUUUGAAGUACAUCAAUAUCAUACUGUAUAUUUUUUCAGUCCCAUAUAAAAUAAAUCAACUGCUGCCAUGGCAUAGAGUUAGCUAUGUGGACCAAUGGAUAUGAAAUCACACACUGGAGUAAAUUAUUCAGUUGAAAGUUCAGAACAAGUGUUGUCACGUAUAAUGUAAUCGAUAGCUACUUUUUUUUAAAAAAAAAAAAAAAAAAGAAAAAUGGUGAUUAGUUAGUAAUAUUUUACUAGGUUGUUAAAAUUAGUAAUGCUAUAUUGUAGUUACUCAGGAUAUUGCUAAGUUAAUUACUAGAAUAAAAAAAAUUAAUAAAAUGGGUAACAAAAAACCAAGGACAUAUUAUCUUGGAUUUGCUAUCUCAAUCCUUGAGAUAGAAAGCCCACUUUAGACAAUACAAUUUCUCCUUUAUAGAACAAUAAUUCCACACCAGCACAGAUAUAAUCUAUGUUUAUAUGCUGGAAAUUAAAAGUAGAUUCCAUCCAUUUACAUUAAUCAGGCUUGCUGCCUUCUUCAGGAUGAAAGAAGCCUACCCUACAUCCAUUAGCAAAAGCCCAAGAGCCCAAGGUGGGUGGUAUUUUCAAUCCAUUUCAGCUUACUGUUGUUUCAUGGGAUAUUGCUGUAAUUGAUUAUCCAUAGGUAUCAUACAAGCAUUUGUCAAUAUCACCAAGUUGUCUGCUGUCCUAAUGAGAUGUCAUUUUGAGAUGUGCUGUAAUUAAAAAAAAUAUAAAGUAAUCAGAUGAUGAAUGGAGAAAACGCCACUCCAAAGCAUAGCAUUUAGACCAGAGCCAGUUCUUUAUGUGCAGUGCUGCAACAGCAGUGAAGAAGCAAUAUAUCCUUUCUGCUGUCUUGUUCAACAGCAGCUCUCAGAGGGCUUGAGAGACUCAUGGUUUUCCCUAACUACCCCAAAUAACUGGACUCUUCUCACUGUAGAGAAGGUCUGAACUGCGACUGCUUUUCUGGGAUGCAAACACUGGUAGGAACCAGGAGAGUCUGGAGACGCAGUUGAGGCUAGAACUUUCUGCUCUCUUUCAAUUUCCCUUGGGUUUGUUUGCAUUUCAUCUGUUUGUUUGUUUUCCUAGAGGAGGUCUUGUAUGUUUUGGGUAAGCUCAUUUCAUUGCACCUGACAUUUAGCUGCUGACCAACUGCUAAAAUUGCUGUCCUGUUUUGCUAUGCUGCUGAAUAGCAGGCAGCCCAGUGGAAUAGAUGCAAAUAGGCUGAGGGUUCUCCUUCAGAAAAUGACAUUCCGGACCAGUAUUUUCUUCAGAUACGGUCAGUGAACACUUUUGAUAGUUCUAGUUGUAGAAACUGAGAUCAUUAUAUCCCAUUAACAGGUCUGUUUGAGUUAACAGAAAGGCAUAAAGGCUGUAUUGACAGUGAAAGCAAGCACACGGUAGUUUCAGCUGGUACUGACAGGUAGGGGACAGCCAGAAUUUGGGACAGAGGAUGGACCGCGGUAGGAGUAUACCAGAAGUUGGCCAAAUAUUUGUGGCUGUAGCAUAAGCCCGUUCUCCAUUCUCAGGUUGUUUCCCUUUCUGGUUGGUUUAGAGUUAGGGAAGUGCUAAAUUAAAUCUUGGGUUUUUCUUUUGUACUCUGUCUUUGAGCUGCCCAUAAGACUGCUUUAGCUUUUAAUCUCUGCCUUUUUAAGUCCUUGAUGCACUGUGCUGUGAAUGUUGACCUGUAAUGAAAGCAAGUGUAUGUUUGAAAAUGCUGAGAACCCAGCUAUCUGUGCACACCAUCUCUCUGCAUACAUCUUGUUUGGGCAAUACAAUUAGCAGAGAAUAAGGUAAACCUCAGGUAAAAGCACAACUAAAUAGACACUAAUAAUGGCUAGCAGUUAAUCUAUAUAACUUUCCUUCAUAGUAUAAAUGAAGUUUCAGCAAAGACAAGCAGCAUUAUUUAGGUUGUUUUCCAUGCAAAAAUAUAUAUAUAUAUAUAUUAUGAGCAGCAAUUCUGUAUUAUAAGAUCUGCAAUUAAAUCCUAUAUUUAAAGCAAUUAUGCAAUUAGAAGAAAGUAAUUUUCUGUGCAUUUACUGUGAAGUAGAUGUAGUUCUAGUCCUAAGCACAUAAUUAAGUACCUCAUGAGAAUUGCUUGUUUUUCCUUACAAUUCUUUAUUAUUAUUAUUAUUAUUAUUAUUAUUAUUAUUAUUAUUAUUUUCCUUCUAUAAAAGCUUGACAUUAACACUACAUUUUAUCACAAUUAAUCUCCGGGAAGAUAUGCCCAUGCAGAGGUGAGAGUAAAAAUAUCUCUUAUCUGUACCGUGAACUAGUUCUGGGGCUGAGCCACUGGAGUGGCUUUUCAGAACUAAAAAUAAAUUUCAGUUGAGCACAACUCUGCACAUUUCUGUGAUAACUCCAGUGAGCUGCUUGACAAAAAAAGAUUUUCUGAAAAUAAAAAUUUUUGAUGCCCAACAAGUAAACAGGGAACCCAGAAGACAUUUCUUUUGCUUAAAGAUUGUAAUAGUAAGGGUAAGAGGGCUGAUGUUUCAAACAGAAGACUUCUAAUCUUAUAUCCUAUUUUUAACAGGGAACUUAAAAGAAUACUUUUAAAUAUGCCUGCAGUAGGUAAUUAAACAAAAAUACCUUUAUGUCUGUUGGAUAUUUCCUGAAGAAAGGAAUUAUUAUCUUGUCCCAUGCAAUUCUAUCUAUUCCUCCAACUUUAUAUUUAAUGUUGCUAAGCACUUGAUCUCCAUAGUAUAAUUUAUGCAACAGCAUGAUUUCUUUUACUUAUUUAUGUAAUAAAAAAAUAUAUAUAUUUUUUAAUAUUUGCUGAAAAGUUCUUGUAAGAUUGGUAGAAUUUUUCUAUUAUUUUUAUAUAUAUUAAAAAAAAGACCAUGUUUCAUUGAUCUGUGUUUAAUCUGUUACUCGCUAUGGCUUUAAUUUCUCUUUAUUUUCCUAGUGACAGAAGCCCUAACAAAACUAUCGAAUGAUAGACAUAAAAAAUAGGCUGUAGUAACACAGCCAAUGACAUGAGAGAGAUCACACAGGUGUGGUGGUUUCAUGCAGGAAGAGGAAAUCAUAGGAGAGAGCUGGUCCUGCACUGUGCAACGUUAAGAAAAGCUGCCUCAGUUGGAUUAAGGAGUUUAGCAUAAAAGUUAGGAUUAUUGUCUCUAUUGUUGCUGAAAGCAUCUUUGAAAAGCUUAUUUGAAUGCUCUCUUGAGACCUGAAUGAGGUCACAAAACAAGUCAUAAUAUUGAUGCGUAUUAAUACUGCUGUCAGGGCUUCCAUUCUCCAGAACAGUUCAGUCUUCAGGAACUAAUUUUGCCUUGUCAGAUUAUAAAAAGAAGUUAUAUCUCUCAGGCUGCUAGGCCUUGUCGAGGUUUCAGAUCUGUAACAGGUUAAAACCCUGAAAAGAUCAGCUGAUUCCUCCAUUUUUCUAGGGUAGACGGAGUAGGCAUGGAUUUUACGGAUAGCUUUUAUGAAUGAAACAUUAAACCGAGAACGUGCCUUCUCCAUGUUGAGAUGGAUGAUCGUUACAUGGUCCAUUUCCCACAGACCAGUAUUUGUCCAGUAUCCUCGCUCGACAUACUGCCUCAGCACUCUGUUACUGUAAUGACAGAAACGACUUCCUGCUAUUCGUAAUUCUGAGUGCAGCCAUAAGGAAUGUUUCAGCAAGCAUAUACAAGGUGUUGUCAUCAAUGGCACAUACUAGCCUUGUUUUUCAACCUGUCUGUAAUUUGUGGAUGGGAAUUGCUUGGGAUUCUGAAGAUGAGACCACCGCAUGGUGCUAUGGCAGCUGAGGGAAAAACACCCAUCUUUCGGGAAAAUUGCUUCUGCUACACAGAAAAAGGGCCCAACUCAAGUGAGAAAAAUGAACAACAACAACAGCACAUAUGAAUAACAAAAAUUAAUAACAAAAAAAAAAAAGGAAAAAAAAAACAGUGGACUAUAACAUUAUCGACAGCUUGUAUUUGCCUUUUAACAUUUUAGUGUGUGGUUUAUGAAUGCAGAGAACUGAAAUGGAGAGGUUAUUUGACAAGUACCAUGCCUCGGCAGAGUGCAGUCCACCAGUGUAUGAAAUCCUACAUCUUCAUCAGCUCCAAGGGGCUUUUCUUUAUGAAUAAUGAGUGAUACAUUACUCACAGGUGACAGAAUAGAUGCGAGGCUUAAAAAGGAAUUGCAAUGAUUAAGAACUGACCUGAAGAAUAGGUGUAGGGUUCAUAUUUCAAACAUAGAUGUCAGCGUGGAAAAAGGAAUAAGAACACGAUGAGAAUAUAAAACAAGGCUAGAGUCAAGGCUGCUGUUGCCGAUGGAACAGAUGGGAAAGGUGGCAGAUGAAAAGAGAGAGGAUCAAGGCUGACUGUUGCAGUCUAAAGCAAAAAUCCCAACACAUUUGAAUUAGUUGUGCUCCACAGGGGAAAUGCGGAUGGUAAAAUCAAAAUAACAGGAGAGAAAAAAAGAUUCUGAUGCCAAUGCUUUGGGAAACAGAUGGAAAACCAGGCGAGGAUGAAGACAGCAAGAAAGAAAAGAGGUAGCAGGUAGGCAGAAAAUAAUUAGAACAGGAAUAAGAAAGGUAUUACUUGAGACUGAGACGAAGCAAUGGAAGUUUUUUUAUCCUGUUGGAAGGAAUGGGACUUCUAAAAGAAGUCUCAGCACUUCUAAAGGGAAAAUAUCACCAGACAAGACUCAUGGAUUUAGUAUAAUAUGAUAAUUCAGAAUCUAGUCUAAUCUGAAAAGGUUCCCUGAUUCCUUGGAGUCUUAAUAAUGCAGUUUGCUACAAUCUCAGUAGAAAAAAAAUGAAGUAAUCUAUAAGAGAUUUUCCACACAUGGGUAGCUCAGCACAUACAUAAGUGAUUUUAUCUGCCAAAUAAAUAUAGCAUUUCUUGCAAAUAGUAAGAAUGCAAGCAGCUCAGAUAAAUAUAACAAAUAAUAAUAAAUCCCAAAUCAAUAUAAAUUCCUUAUAUUUGUUCAGCUAAACUAGUAAUAAGCUAUACUGUCUCAGCUACUCAGCAAAAGGAACUUAAAAUUGUAUGAUAAUCACUAAUUAAUUUAAAUUAGUUAAACCACUGGCUAGUGAUGUAGCUAUUUUCACCACCCGAAUCACAUAACAGGAGUUAGCAUAAGCAAUUUCUUAGCCCACCUCAUCUCUGGGUAUAUGUACUGUUAAUGGGAACAGUACAUGUUUGUUAAUCAGCAGAGGAAGCAGAAUGAGCAUGGGAGAUCAGGAUGUACUCUUUAUUUUUAAAAAUACUCUUGAGAUCCAAAAUGAACAUAUGGGACUAAAUAAAUGAAGAAAGAUUUGGAACUUGAAACUUUAAUUGGUAUUUCCUCUUUAUUUACAUUUAAUGGUAUUUGCAAAAGUUCUGCAGAUUUCAAAAAUCCAAAGACUUUUUUUUUUUUUUUUUUUUUUUUGGUAGGGAAGAAUUUCAUGAUCAGCAAAAGAAUAAAAGGGUUCACACAUUGGUGCAGUGUUUUUGCAUCUACAAAAAUAACAUAUUUAAAGAUUUUUCUAAUAAAUAUUUUUUACUCUGAAUCCCAGGCAUAAAAAACAAAUAUUGACAGAAGGUAAGGCCAGACGGGUCCACCAUAACCAUUUAGUCUGAGCUCUAGCCAAGGGUCUUGUCAGAAUUUAACUUCUUCACCAAGGAUUUUUGGAAAAGAACCAGAUUGUCAAUGAGUUUAUCAUAGUGCUGAGGAAUUCACUAAAGCCCUCAGCAUGCAGUUGCGAUGGCUAAUUGAGCACCGAUAAAACAGCAAAACAAAAUGUAAAAUUUAUUUCUAAUACAAAUAUGAUUAAUAUCAGCAUUCAAAUACUGGAUUUUUUUUUUUUUUUUUUUUUUUUUACUGCAGUCUACUACAGUCUCUUUAAUUUCUCUGUAUCUCUUUCCUAAAGUAUGUACCCCACAGCACCAAGUCAUUCCUGACUGAUAAGCAUAUGGAGCAAGCACUGACCAUUUCUGAGUGUGAGGCAAAAAUUUACCAUUCUUCAGCCCUUUUCCAGUUUCUGUCCAUGUCUCCUGUGCACCUGCUGAAACAUGAACAUUUGCUUGAACUGCAGCCACUGUCUCAGCCAGGAUUGUGCCAGGAUGAAUUGCUGAGGAAAUGCUCCUGAUAAACUCCUAUUUAUUUCAGAUUAGCACAUAUAUUAGCCCUUUUCACUACCUUGCUGGCUUCUACCUUGGGUUCAGACUAUCGUCCACUGGAAUCUACUAGAUCAAAUAUAGCCGUGAUCAGAUUCUGCACUCUUUGCAAUAGGUAACAAAUCUCUCCUCGACUUCCAUGAAAUCAGGAUUAGGCAGUUAGCCUUUCUAGGGGGUUGACAUCUUAUUACUGGAUAUCUGGCCUUCUGUCAUCUGUCUUUGUUUCCAUUGCUAUUGCACUGCUAUGUUCCUUUCAACAAGUGAUUGAUGCUUAUUAUUAACAGUUCCCCUGUUGAUGCUUUGUUCAGAUUCUGAGCUAAUGCAUUUUUAUAUGAGCUUUUAUAGUGGAUUGAGAAGAAUGCAUAUGAAAAUAUAAUGUUUUUAAGAUUCCAUUCCUUAAUUACUUCUUGCUAGAUCCUUUUCUUGUGAAAAAAAAAAAAAAAAAAAAAAGUAUUGAAUGUGAUUCUCAGUAAUGUGGUCUAAUUUUUUUAUGCACAAUGUUAAUGAGUAUGUCUAUUCUUAGUACAUGGCCAUAAAUUAUUAUCACCUAUAAAUUUUGUUUUUCUCCAUUGCCUGCUUGCAUCUUUUUGAUUAGCACAGGACUGUUAUAAAACAUAGAGCGCCGAAGAAAGCCUUAUUUUAUUAUCAGCAUUUUUCCUUGUUAUUAAAUUCUGAUUAAACUGUUUUCUUGCUGAUUCACUAGCCCAUGCUGUCCUUUUGUAGUUACUCAUCUCGGUUGAAGUCUUCUAUGUUUUUGCUGGCACACCAACAGUAGAAUAUGGCCAUGCGACUACCAACUUGACAUUUUUUUUCUUCAUGUUCUGACACGAUGAUUCAAAUCUGGAGUAUUGUAUGCACAUAUGGGCACACACACAUUAUGCAUGAUGUAUACAUAUACACACAACUCUUUAAUGGAAAAAUAUGCAUUAGAAAAUCAAUGGUCAGAGUAGUAUCAGCUGUGACUGCCAAUGGCAGUUAUUAACUUACCGCAGAUAAGCUGUGCAAAAAAACCCACUUGUGAUUAGUAAAUAACUUCUUAUCCAGAUCACCUUUAUUUUACCUAACUGCUAUGCUAUGUUAUGUAGAUGUUAGGUUUGAAGGGUGCAGCAAGGAUGCUGCUGUGACAGAAAGUGGGUUCAAGGCCUUCACCUACAUACUGGCUUAGGUGAGUGUGCUGCUGUGUAGUGCCUACUGCAGUAGGAUCCAAACUCAGUUGAGCAUUUAUUCACAGUCUACUGCAAAUAAUAAAAUUCCAUUUCACCAUCUAUCCAGAUAAAACAUGCAUCGCCAUGAAUUAUUCUUGCUGUUUCUGAAGGAGGUCUUGAUGUGCAUGUGAAAUAGCACUGUUCUCUACGACACAGCAAAACAAAACCCAGCUUAGAGAUUUAAAUCCUUUCCAUACCUGUAAACACAAUUAGGUCAAAGAGUGGGGGGAUUCUAGGUUUCAAUUAUUUAUGGGCAUCAUCGUAGAUUU